GUCUAUGGCCAUACCACCCGGAAUGCGCCCGAUCUCAUCUGAUCUCGGAAGCUAAGCAGGGUUGGGCCUGGUUAGUAUUUGGAUGAGAGGAAUAAUAUAGGUGAAUUGAAA
rnacentral:rRNA from 1 species